AAUGAACGCUGGCGGCGUGCCUAACACAUGCAAGUCGAGCGAAAGGACGGUAAGCUUGCUUCUCUGCGGUUAGCGGCGGACGGGCGAGUAACACGUGCAUAACCUACCUAUAAUACGGGGAGAACUUCGUGAAGCCGUAGAUACUACUACCUCAUAUGUUCAACCGCUGAGAUCAAAAGAGCAUGACGGCUUUGCUGUCACUAUUAGCUGGAGUCGCGUUGCAUUAGCUAGUUGGUAAGGUAACGGCUUACCAAGGCAACGAUGCGUAGCCGACCUGAGAGGAUGAUCGGCCACACUGGAACUGGGACACGGUCCAGACUCCUACGGGAGGCAGCAGUAGGGAAUAUUGGGCAAUGGGCGAAAGCCUGACCGAGCAACGCCGCGUGAGUGAUGAAGGUCUUCGGAUCGUAAAACCCUGUUAUUAGGAAAGAACAGCUGUGUAUGUAACUGUGGAUGUCCUGACGGUACCUAAUCAGAAAGCACCGGCUAACUACGUG
rnacentral:rRNA from 1 species